rnacentral:rRNA from 1 species
AUACGUAGGGGGCGAGCGUUGUCCGGAAUGAUUGGGCGUAAAGGGCGCGUAGGCGGCGCGGUAAGUCUGGAGUGAAAGUCCUGCUUUCAAGGUGGGAAUUGCUUUGGAUACUGCCGCGCUUGAGUGCAGGAGAGGUUAUCGGAAUUCCCGGUGUAGCGGUGACAUGCGUAGAGAUCGGGAGGAACACCAGUGGCGAAGGCGGGUAACUGGACUGCAACUGACGCUGAGGCGCGGAAGUGUGGGGAGCAAACAGGAUUAGAUACCCUGGUAGUCCACACUGUAAACGAUGAAUACGAGGUGUCGGGUGGCAACAGCCAUUCGGUGCCGCAGCAAACGCAAUAAGUAUGCCACCUGGGGAGUAAGUUCGCAAGAAUGAAACUUAAAGGAAUUGGCGGGG